GCGGGUAUGGUGGAAUGGCAGACACGGUGGAUUUAAGACCCACUGCGAAAGUGUACAGGUUCAAGUCCUGUUACCCGCA
rnacentral:tRNA from 1 species